rnacentral:rRNA from 1 species
AUUGAACGCUGGCGGCAGGCCUAACACAUGCAAGUCGAGCGGAUGAAGGGAGCUUGCUCCUGGAUUCAGCGGCCGACGGGUGAGUAAUGCCCAGGUAUCUGCCUGGCCGUGGGGGAUAACGUCCGUAAACGGGCGCUAAUAUCGCACACGUCCUGAGGGAGAAAGUGGGGGAUCAUCGGACCUCACGCUAUCAGAUGAGCCUAGGUCGGAUUAGCUAGUUGGUGGGGUAAAGGCCUACCAAGGCGACGAUCCGUAACUGCCCUGAGAGGAUGAUCGGCCACACUGGAACUGAGACACGGUCCAGACUCCUACGGGAGGCAGCAGUAGGGAAUAUUGGGCAAUGGGCGAAAGCCUGAUGCAGCCAUGCCGCGUGAGUGAAGAAGGUCUUCGGAUUGUAAAGCACUUUAAGUUGGGAGGAAGAACAGUAAGUUAAUACCUUGCUGUUUUGACGUUACCAACAGAGAAAGCAACGGCUAACUUCGUG